UCUCCGUAGGUGAACUUGCGGAGGGAUCAUUA
rnacentral:rRNA from 1 species